CAUAAUUAUCAAGAACUUCAAGAGAAGUAGCAACCUGCAACAACAAGCAAGGUGCUGAAAUAGAUAAGCCGAUAUUUCGGAAAAAAUGUUGUAUUC
rnacentral:ncRNA from 2 species